GCCAGGCGUGGUGGCAGGCGCCUGUAAUCCCAGCUACUUGGGAGGCUGAGGCAGGAGAAUCGCUUGAGCCCGGGAGUUGGAGGUUGCAGUGAGCAGAGAUUGUGCCACUGCACUCCAGCCUGGGUAACAGAGCGAGACUCUGUCUCAA
rnacentral:SRP_RNA from 2 species